rnacentral:rRNA from 1 species
GUAUUAUGGAGAGUUUGAUCCUGGCUCAGGACGAACGCUGGCGGCGUGCCUAACACAUGCAAGUCGAACGGGGAUUUUGUUUCGGCAGAAUCCUAGUGGCGAACGGGUGAGUAACGCGUAGGCAACCUGCCCCCCGGAUUGGGACAACACCCCGAAAGGGGUG